rnacentral:rRNA from 1 species
UACGAAGGGGGCUAGCGUUGCUCGGAAUUACUGGGCGUAAAGGGCGCGUAGGCGGCACUGUUAGUCAGGCGUGAAAGUCCUGGGCUCAACCUGGGAACUGCGCUUGAUACGGCAGAGCUAGAGGAUGGAAGAGGCUCGCGGAAUUCCCAGUGUAGAGGUGAAAUUCGUAGAUAUUGGGAAGAACACCGGUGGCGAAGGCGGCGAGCUGGUCCAUUACUGACGCUGAGGCGCGACAGCGUGGGGAUCAAACAGG